CCUACGGGAGGCAGCAGUGAGGAAUAUUGGUCAAUGGGCGGGAGUCUGAACCAGCCAAGUCGCGUGAGGGAAGACGGUCCUAUGGAUUGUAAACCUCUUUAGGCGGGGAGCAAUGCCGGGCACGCGUGCCCGGAGGGAGAGUACCCGCAGCAUAAGCAUCGGCUAACUCCGUGCCAGCAGCCGCGGUAAUACGGAGGAUCCGAGCGUUAUCCGGAUUGAUUGGGUUUAAAGGGAGCGUAGGUGGAUGGUUAAGUCAGUUGUGAAAGUUGGCGGCUCAACCGUAAAAUUGCAGUUGAAACUGGCAGUCUUGAGUACAGUAGAGGUGGGCGGAAUUCGUGGUGUAGCGGUGAAAUGCUUAGAUAUCACGAAGAACUCCGAUUGCGAAGGCAGUUCACUGGACUGCAACUGACACUGAGGCUCGAAAGUGUGGGUAUCAAACAGGAUUAGAUACCCUUGUAGUC
rnacentral:rRNA from 1 species